rnacentral:tRNA from 1 species
UGGGGUGUGGCUCGGCUGGCAGAGUGCUUGCCUAGUAUGCAUGAUCCUUGGGUUCAAUUCCCAGCACCACAU